rfam:Camelus ferus unplaced genomic scaffold scaffold114, whole genome shotgun sequence.
GAGGGUGCAGCUCAGUGGUGGAGCGUGUGCUCAGCAAGCACGAGGUCCUGGGUUCCAUCCCCAGUACUGCCA